CUGCUGGCAGGCUGGCUCCCUCCCUCUCUCCCCCGGCGGCCGCACUAUCCUGCAUGUGGGCCGGUGAGGGAGAUCUCUGAUCUCCCCACCGGCCCGCUGUAGACUACUGCAGGGCCGGCGUUCAGAUAGCGCCGGCCCUGCAAAGACCGGCAGGAGAGAUCCUGUGAUCUCCCUGCCGGCCUCGGCCCCACGGCCACCGCGGCCCACCGGGCAUUUGCCCGGUGUGCCCGAUGGCCAGUCCGGGCCUG